rnacentral:lncRNA from 1 species
CUUAAAGAGGGUUCAAAUCAUAGUUAGUUAAUUCGUAUUUGACAAAAAUUCGGUACGGGUAUAAUUCGGAUAAAAUUCGUCUUUUAAUUUUUAAAUUCGUUGAAAAAUACGGCUAAAAAAGUGAUUUGGUAAUUAUUCGGAUACGUGAUUUAUACGGAUAUUAUACGUUUACCAAUUAAAAAUUCGGAAUCAAAAAUUUAGCUAUAUAAUAAAUAUAUAAUAAUUAAUAUACUAUAUAUAUUAUUUUUAUAUUUUUUUUAUAUAAAUUAAAUAUAUUCAAAGUUAUAAUAAAUAUAUAUUAAUAAUAUAUAAGAGUUAUGUAUUUAGAAAUAUUAAUAAAUAA